GACGAACGCUGGCGGCGUGCUUAACACAUGCAAGUCGAACGGAAAGGCCCUGCUUGCAGGGUACUCGAGUGGCGAACGGGUGAGUAACACGUGGGUGAUCUGCCCUGCACUUCGGGAUAAGCCUGGGAAACUGGGUCUAAUACCGGAUAGGAGCCAUUUUUAGUGUGAUGGUUGGAAAGUUUUUUCGGUGUAGGAUGAGCUCGCGGCCUAUCAGCUUGUUGGUGGGGUAAUGGCCUACCAAGGCGGCGACGGGUAGCCGGCCUGAGAGGGUGGACGGCCACAUUGGGACUGAGAUACGGCCCAGACUCCUACGGGAGGCAGCAGUGGGGAAGAUUGCACAAUGGGCGCAAGCCUGAUGCAGCGACGCCGCGUGGGGGAUGACGGCCUUCGGGUUGUAAACUCCGUUCGCUAGGGACGAAGCUUUUUGUGACGGUACCUAGAUAAGAAGCACCGGCUAACUACGUG
rnacentral:rRNA from 1 species